UGCUAUACAUGCAAGUCGAGCGAACAGAUAAGGAGCUUGCUCCUUUGACGUUAGCGGCGGACGGGUGAGUAACACGUGGGUAACCUACCUAUAAGACUGGAAUAACUCCGGGAAACCGGGGCUAAUGCCGGAUAACAUAUAGAACCGCAUGGUUCUAUAGUGAAAGAUGGUUUUGCUAUCACUUAUAGAUGGACCCGCGCCGUAUUAGCUAGUUGGUAAGGUAAUGGCUUACCAAGGCGACGAUACGUAGCCGACCUGAGAGGGUGAUCGGCCACACUGGAACUGAGACACGGUCCAGACUCCUACGGGAGGCAGCAGUAGGGAAUCUUCCGCAAUGGGCGAAAGCCUGACGGAGCAACGCCGCGUGAGUGAUGAAGGGUUUCGGCUCGUAAAACUCUGUUAUUAGGGAAGAACAUAUGUGUAAGUAACUGUGCACAUCUUGACGGUACCUAAUCAGAAAGCCACGGCUAACUACGUGCCAGCAGCCGCGGUAAUACGUAGGUGGCAAGCGUUAUCCGGAAUUAUUGGGCGUAAAGCGCGCGUAGGCGGUUUCUUAAGUCUGAUGUGAAAGCCCACGGCUCAACCGUGGAGGGUCAUUGGAAACUGGGAAACUUGAGUGCAGAAGAGGAAAGUGGAAUUCCAUGUGUAGCGGUGAAAUGCGCAGAGAUAUGGAGGAACACCAGUGGCGAAGGCGACUUUCUGGUCUGUAACUGACGCUGAUGUGCGAAAGCGUGGGGAUCAAACAGGAUUAGAUACCCUGGUAGUCCACGCCGUAAACGAUGAGUGCUAAGUGUUAGGGGGUUUCCGC
rnacentral:rRNA from 2 species